AAGAAUAAGUACCACCAGACCACGGCCUUGGAUUGCAAAAAAAUUCGUGGUCGCAUGUUUGUUAAGGGUAGGCUACAUGGGCAAUAAGUCAGUUAUACUUGGCUACCCACGUCAUUCUAACGUUUACAAGUUAAGUUAUAAUAGAGUUAUUGUUUAUCAUCAUGUUUAACUGCCCCGUGUGUAAGAAAAAUGUGGAAGUUGGUUCGCGUUUAGAUGUUGGGAGACAUAUGCGAAUGCAUAUUCGUACGCUUGAUUAUCCAGUGUCUUUCCCAAUACGGUGUUGCCAACAGAGAUGUCAUUCUAUUUACUCUUCCUUGGAUGCGUUUGUGAAACAUAUGGGUAAAAAGCAUAGCAGACAAUAUAGCAAUAUUGCUCCCGUAGCUAAUGACUGCGAUAACCUUGACGGCUACGUCCCCGAAGGGGAUAAUGGAGACCAUGAAAUGCAAGAAAUGCCGCAUCCGAGUGACAUUGAAUCAGAUAAGUGUUAUAGCAAUGAGGCUAUGAAAUUAAUACUGUGUUUAGUUAGUAAAAGCUCGGUGACAUUUAAUUGCGUGACUGAAGUGCUUGCAAUUUUUGAUAAUUACCUGCAAUCUACACUUGCCAACAUACACAACAAAUUAGAGCAAAUUGAAAUUGCCUAUCAUACCCCUACUUUGUCCAUUGUACUAGACGAAAUCAAUAAAUCAAGGCAAUGCAUUUCUUCUCUUAACACCGAUUACAAAAUAAAAAAUUCAAUAACUCAACAUAAUUUGUUUAUAAAUCCCAUAGAGAUUGUGCUGGGUGAAAGAGAGGAAGUGCAUUUGCAGGAUGGGGCCUCAAUCAAUAAUGUCACUGUUAAAGAUAAAGCUUACUACGUUCCCAUUUUCAGUAUUAUAAGAAAUUUGUUGUCUGACGAAAAAUUUGCAACACAUAUUUUCAAUGAAAAAUUGUUUCGCAAAAAAGCUGACGGAGUAUAUUCAAAUUAUUGUGAUUCUACUAAGUUCAAGCAACACGGUCUCUUUUCCGACAAAACUAAAAUUAGUUUGAGAAUUCAAUUGUUUUAUGAUGGCAUGGGAACAACAAAUCCUCUUCGUGGCCAUGCAUCAAUUCACAGUGUUGGUGUAUUUUAUAUUUCUUUUGAAAAUGUACAUGAGAAGUACAGCUUUAAUUUUCAAAAAGUACAUCUCCUUUCUAUGAUUAAUACUUUAGAUGUUAAAACGUAUGGUUUCGAUGUUAUUUUAAGAAAAAUUACUGAUGACAUUAAAAUUCUUGAAACUACAGGAAUUCCCGUAGAAAUAAAAAAUAAAGGAACAGUGCAAAUAUUUGGAUCGAUAAGUCAGUUUUGUGGGGACAGUCUCGCAACAAACGAAGUAUUUGGACUUGUUGAAAAUUUUAGUAGGACGGAAUACUGUUGCGCGAUUUGUUACGGUAAUAUCCAGGAACGAAGUACAUACUUUUGGGAAUCCGCGUUUCGUUUACGUAACAAAGAGUUGCACAAGGACGACUUAGAAAUGCUGCAUUCUGAUGAUGAAUUACUUCAUGUUCGGGGAGUUAAAAAAAACAGCGUCUUAAACGAACUAAAAUUUUUCUAUACGUCCACAAAUCGUACCGCUGACAUCAUGCACUUAUUGCCUGAGGGAAUCUUACCUCUUGUAUCUGGGAAUAUUUUACAUGAAUUUAUUACUAUCCGGAAAGUUAUGUCACUGACUGAUUUAAAUAGAAAAAUUCGAUGGGUUUUUGCUUGCCUCAAAGUAGACAAAGGUAAUACGCCCCCUGAAUUGAACAGCCUCAAGCCACCGGGGAAAGGGUUAUCACCUAAACUUACCGCUAAUGAAAUGCUUUGUCUUUUUAGGUAUUUACCUGUUAUCCUUGGGCCAUUUAUCCCUACGGGUGACAAGUUUUGGGCUUUGUUUGUUCAGUUGCAAAUGCUUGUAGACAUCGCAUAUGCUCCUAAACUUACAGACGUGAUAUUAGAUUACUUUGAAGAACUUUAUGAAGAUCACAUGUUGUUGUAUAAAGAACUUUAUCCUGAAAUCGCGGUUAAACCCAAGCAGCACUUUUUGGUCCAUUUUAAAACAAUUGUUAAAGAAAAUGGACCUACCCGUAACCUUUCUUGUUUGAAAUAUGAACUACGAAACGGAUUUUUUAAACGUUUGAGCCAUGUCGUUUGUAAUUUCAAAAAUAUUAGCAAAACCUUGACCACUCGAAAUCAAUAUACAACCCUUGCUCACUCUAUUAUAGGAGAUAUCUUACGCGACGAGUUUAUUUUCUCAGGUCAACAAAAAACAUGCGUUUUACAGUCAAUUGAAUCCUCAGAAAUCGUAGCCCAAAAACUUAACAUACCAUUAACCACGACUGUUGACAUUGUAAAACACGUUGAUUAUUAUGGCGUAACUUAUUCAGUAGGAAAUAUAGUCGUUAUUAGUAAAGAAAAUUUUGAAUUAAAAUUUGGUGAAGUACAGUCUAUUAUUCGAGAAAAGAAGCAAUGCGUUAUAUUGGUCCAAAAAUUUGAAACUGUUGGUUUUAAUUCACACCUGCACGUAUUUAAGGUAAAAAUACCAACAACUACUGAACUUAUUUGCAUUGAUUUCACUGAACUUUUUGAUUACCAUCCUUUGGACCUCUAUUAUAGUAUAUCUGACGAUAAUUACUACGUCAGAUUGAAAUAUCACCUCUUUUAAAAACAACCGUAUGAAAAAUAAUUGAAAUCCAUUUUAUGACUCACAUUAAUUUUAAUAUACUCCAUUAAACACGUUUAGUUCAUUUUACUGUCGUAAGAGUCAAUAGCAAAAUUACUCCUUUCGAGUAAACGUUGCCAUAUAGAAAACAUUAUUUUAGAUAAAGCUCUUUUUUGGUGGGGGUUGGGGGUGGCGGGAGCUGCAGUAGCCGUGGGUCUAUCAUUAUUCCCAAAUUUUCCACGCUAUUGCUCAUUUGUGCGUAGGUGUCUGCCGCGGCCUAUUAAUUUCUCCUCACAAAACUGAGUUUGGUAGCAAACUAGAGUGUCUGUUAAAGAGCAAAUAGUGAAUAUUAAAAAAAUCAAGACAAGUAAACAGUGACAAAGCAGUGAAGUGAAUAUCAAACAUACGCAAUGCCUCUGUGUAAAAUAAUGAUAAAAGGUACGGGACAAACUGGUAUAUUCAACGAAGAAACGCUGCUUGACUUGAAAAAUAAAAUUUCUCAAAGAUUCCUGGCACCUGUCGAUCUCCUAGAGCUGCAUAGCGACGGAUUUCCUGUUGUGUGCGAUGACGACUUUUUGUGCCUGAGUAUCGUUGCUGGUCCUUUAACAUUCACUGUCACUAUCCUU